rnacentral:rRNA from 1 species
ACUUAAAUUGAAGAGUUUGAUCAUGGCUCAGAUUGAACGCUGGCGGCAGGCCUAACACAUGCAAGUCGAGCGGUAGCACAGAGAGCUUGCUCUCGGGUGACGAGCGGCGGACGGGUGAGUAAUGUCUGGGAAACUGCCUGAUGGAGGGGGAUAACUACUGGAAACGGUAGCUAAUACCGCAUAAUGUCGCAAGACCAAAGUGGGGGACCUUCGGGCCUCAUGCCAUCA